UACGUAGGUCCCGAGCGUUGUCCGGAUUUAUUGGGCGUAAAGCGAGCGCAGGUGGUUUAUUAAGUCUGGUGUAAAAGGCAGUGGCUCAACCAUUGUAUGCAUUGGAAACUGGUAGACUUGAGUGCAGGAGAGGAGAGUGGAAUUCCAUGUGUAGCGGUGAAAUGCGUAGAUAUAUGGAGGAACACCGGUGGCGAAAAUGGCUCUCUGGCCUGUAACUGACACUGAGGCUCGAAAGCGUGGGGAGCAAACAGG
rnacentral:rRNA from 1 species